AAGCCAUGGGAGUCGGGUAGGCCUGAAGACGGUGACCAUCACAGGAGCCGUUUAGGGCAGAACUGGCGACUAGGGCUAAGUCGUAACAAGGUAGCCGUACCGGAAGGUGUGGCUGGAACACCUCCUUUU
rnacentral:rRNA from 1 species